UACGGGGGGAGCAAGCGUUGUUCGGAUUUACUGGGCGUAAAGGGCGCGUAGGCGGUCAGCACAAGUCAGUUGUGAAAUCUCCGGGCUUAACUCGGAAAGGUCAACUGAUACUGUGCGACUAGAGUGCGGAAGGGGCAACUGGAAUUCUCGGUGUAGCGGUGAAAUGCGUAGAUAUCGAGAGGAACACCUGCGGCGAAGGCGGGUUGCUAGGCCGACACUGACGCUGAUGCGCGAAAGCCAGGGGAGCGAACGGG
rnacentral:rRNA from 1 species